rnacentral:rRNA from 1 species
UAGGCGCGAAAACUUUACAAUGCUGGCAACAGCGAUAAGGGAACCUCGAGUGCCAGGUUACAAAUCUGGCUGUCGAGAUGCCUAAAAAGCAUUGCAUAGCAAGGGCCGGGCAAGACCGGUGCCAGCCGCCGCGGUAACACCGGCGGCUCGAGUGGUAACCGUUAUUAUUGGGUCUAAAGGGUCUGUAGCCGGCCGGAUAAGUCUCUUGAGAAAUCUGGCAGCCUAACUGUCAGGCUUUCAGGAGAUACUGUCUGGCUCGAGGCCGGGAGAGGUGAGAGGUACUUCAGGGGUAGGGGUGAAAUCUUGUAAUCCUUGAAGGACCACCAGUGGCGAAGGCGUCUCACCAGAACGGACCUGACGGCAAGAGACGAAAGCUAGGGGCACGAACA